rnacentral:piRNA from 1 species
UAACAUAUAUACAGGAAA